CUUUUCAGCUUCAGAAGUGAGUUACUAAUAAAAUGGUGCCAGAAAUCUGAACAAGUUACAGCGACCUUUAAAAACAGUAAGAUUUUGUUUACCUACAAUAUAAGAACAACUUGAUAACUUGAACAGCCAUAAAACAUAUCAUGCCUGCUCAGGAAAGCAGUUGCCAUAUACAUUUCAGUUGGUGAUUGCCAAAACCCAGUUACUUUUAAAAUAGCUUAAGAACCUGAAGUGCAGAGGAGCAGAGAGAAUAUAUUAAAAUGAAGCCAAUCUUAAGUAUAUAUGCACAGGAUCACCUGGUUACCAAAAGUGAAAUCAGGCUGCUAUUAACACUUGCCCACGAAGUGGCUUCCACUCUGUAAAUGGCUAUCACCCCUUAGAGAUGACGGUUGUGGGCAACACUAGCGCAGACCUACCUUGGCUAACCUAUAAACUGCUAUGUUUAGGUAGAAUGCCCAGUUUCUAAAAGAAGUUGUCUUUUUGGGGAUGCUAGAUUGGAGGGGCACAUCUCUUCCAGCAGGUUAAAAAAGGACUUACAUGCUUAGUUAUCCUGAAUAAGCCUUUUGUUAAGCACUUUUGAAGUUAGUGUUAAAAAAAAAAAGUUUUCCAUAUAAAACAAAGGUGUUGGGUCGUUUUUGCCCAUUAAAAAGACCAGCUAUAGAAUCACAGUUGGAUAUUGUGCUGCAUUAGAAAAGAAAAGUGGGGUUUCUAAUCAGGCAGUGAUAUACAUGUAUAAUUUAGCAGGAACUCUUGUAUUAUUACUGAAUAAAUUAUUAAUUCAUAUCAGCACUUUCCAUAAUGUGUUAUCUGGUAUAACUUAGCACCGCUGUGUUUAAAGAUUUGGGGGCAAGUCACAUUAUUUUAGAACUUGAACAUUAGAACACAAAAAUCCACCUCUGAAACUUUUUAACUGGAAAGGAAAAUGUCCUUCAUAAACUCUUUGAAAACUUUAUUGAUGAUUUUGUAAGUGCCUUACCUUAAGAUCGCUCGUCUCAUUGUAUGCCUUUUUGUAAAAAACAAAAACACCCUACAUUUUCCCUGGUUUUGAUCUCUGAAAACAUGAAAUAAUGAUGCCGUGGAGCAAAACUCUGCCAGCCUUGCUUGAAGCACCUCUCAGUACAAUACAGGUUUUAUGAAUAAUGCAGCAGGGACGCACCAGGCAAGAAUGACUGGCGCAUCUUGGACCGGCCCGUUAAGUAUUUAUAGAGCCAACCACUCAGGAAAACUGCAAAGCUCACGGGUCUAUUGCAGGCACUCGAGUAGCCUCUCUGUCCCCACCGCACCCCCAGUGACCACCUUCUGCACACCUGGCUUCCGAGUUCAUGCGCGUCUCCAUUCUGCUGCUAUGCCAGGACUAAAUGCCCCGUGACCUCCCAAGGCUUGCUCCCCAUCCUGAAACACACCUGAGGACCAAUCUCUCUGUGACUUCUGAAGUUGCAUAAUCCACGCCCAGUUGCCAAAGGGAGGAGACUAAAGGUGCCUCUCUCCCCGCUAUUCUGCACCCCUGUGGUUCUCCCCAGUGUCAGUUUAGCUGGGAAAAAAGGGGACGUACCUCCAUGACAGUGACAGUUCCUAGUCAGAAGAAAAGGGCUGACAAGCUACUGGUGGGGAGCAACUUGGGAAGUAGGAAGGGUCUGGAAGCAUCUCUCAAAUUCCAUAGGGAGGAUGCUUACUGUUCGUCAGGCCCUGGAUAUAAAGGACAAAAAUACUAGGCAGGUUCUUGUUUUUGAAUGUUUUGUUUUUCUACUUAUAAACUGAACCAGAUGGCACUCCAUUUUGGGGACUCUGACAAAGCCAUGAAUAAAAUGUGAACAGAAAUAUUAUGCCCUGAUUUCUAAAGUCUGCAUCCAAAAUCAGAGUAGUUUUAUCCAUUCAGAAAACACCUGAGGGGAAAAGCAAAAAAACUGAACCUCAAAUUAAACUCUAUUCCAUACAGAUGUUUGCUUCUUAUAUAUAUUUAAGCUAGCAGAAUGAGAAAUUCACCUUGACUUCACUGAACAACAAAAACGUGGGUGACGGUUUUAGGGGAUCACCUAAGAAGUGAAAGGAAAAAGACCAUUAGGACCCUGAAACGUAGACGGUACACCCGCCAAUGCAAGUCAGAGCAUUUCCUGGAAAACAUGGGAACUUACUCACUGGUAGGGUGGCAUUUCUAAUACACUGCACAUGGGGGCACCCUUGGCAGUGGCUAGCAGUGGUGUCCUGGUCAGGCUGUGGCUGCAAUGGGCUGGCCAUUCUUCGUCCCUUCACUCCCAUCAUGCGGUGACACAUCUCUGUGCCCCCGGGCCACUUGGCAUCCUCCCAAUGAACUACCCUUCCUUCACGUAGAGGGAGAAUAAAGUAAAAGAGUCUUCUCUUCAGGUAAGGAUUUAUUAUCAUGUUGAACAACACAAGGGAAUAUUUAAAAACACUAAAUAUAUAGGUUAAAACAGAACGACAUGACAACAGGAAAUGAAGGAUGGAUGAAAUAAACAAACAAGCUUGAUUUCAAAACACUUAAAGUGAGUAAAAAUACCGUAUUUCCUCUGGCCCACAGGUAAUUAUAAGAAGUAAAGAACAAAAUCUAAAAAAGCAAAAGAUUUGCAGGUGACCAGGGGAUCACUUUCCAGUUGGGAGACUCCAGAGGAGGAUGCCACUUCCUGACUAAAGAAAGAGUUGGCUGGACACAGACCAGUCAGUUGGACCCGUCUGUUCCUUCAGGGGCUCCCUCUUCCCCCCCAUACCCCUUGUUGGCAUUCUUAAUAAAGGGAUUUCAAUGUUGCUUUAAA